UGGUAGGGCCACAUCUGCCAGAGCCUGGAGUCUGCGAAGGCCGGGACCCGGUUCCCCGGCCCACAGUGGGGGUGUGCAAACCCGAGAGAACUGGGAAGUGCCGUCAGAAGCGAUAACUGACGACGUCUAAUGUCUAUCUGACCGCAGUCGCUGAAACCUCUACAACUUAGUUGACCGUAACUGCCAGAGCCCUGCCCUGAAUUCCUGUCCUUACUCCCUCUUUAAGAUUGCGUACCCACUGCAGAGUGCUGAAGACGGGGUAGCCACGAGGUUGCAAAUUCGUGAAGAAUCAGCAUCAUGUUUGGCAGCUGAGUAUUGGAGCCAGGAGCCUGCCAUGAGGUUUUGAGAACAGAGUGCUGUUUUAGAGCUGGCAGCAGCAUCUCAGCCCAAGAGAAGGUUAUAUUCCCAGAGGAUGUCAGUCCCAAGGACCAGUAGCUGCCAUCAGUUUGGAUUCUGAAAACUAACUGGCAUCAACACUGGGUGUAGAAACAUGCUUGCCUUAUGUAUCAGAGGACAUGCUCAGCAGAUCCAAGAGAUAUAUUUGGCAACUUUUUCUAGAAAAGGCACAUUGGGUAUCAUUCAUUACAUUCUUGAGUUUUUUUGGGUUUUUUUUUUUUUUUUUGAGACAGUCUUGCUGUAUUGCCCAGGCUGGAGUGUGGUGGCACAAUCACAGCUCAUUGCAUCCUCAAUCACCCAGGCCUAAGCAAUCCUCCCACCUUGUAGCUGGGACUACAGCUCACAGCACACCUGGCUAAAAUUUUUUUUUUGUUGAGACGGAUUCUCUAUGUUGCCCAGGCUGGUCUCAGGCUCCUGGGCUCAGAUGGUCCUCCUGCCUCAGCUUCCAAAGGCACAGGCCAAGUUGUAGCUUUGUCCCUUGCCAUCAUGCCCAACAAGAGGUUCUAUACCUUUUAAUGAAUUGACUUUCAUAAAUUGGUUAUGUUGGUGGGCAAAGUUCUUUAAGCUGGAAAUUGUAAAUUCCUCCUGAAAUGUUUUUUCAUGCAGUUACCAUGAACUAA
rnacentral:lncRNA from 1 species